UCUUGCCUGCCCAGUGACAAUGUUAAACGGCCGCGGUAUUUUGACCGUGCGAAGGUAGCGCAAUCACUUGUCUUUUAAAUGAAGACCUGUAUGAAUGGUGAAACGAGGGCUUAACUGUCUCCCUUUUCUAGUCAAUGAAAUUGAUCUGCCCGUGCAGAAGCGGACAUAAUAAUACAAGACGAGAAGACCCUUUGGAGCUUAAGAUAUAAAGAUCAUCUAUGUCAAUGGGCCCCAACACGGCAACAAACUAAAUAGCAACUGAUCUUAAUCUUCGGUUGGGGCGACCACGGGAGAAAAUAAAGCUCCCACGCGGACUGGGGUAAACCCUAAAACCAAGAAAAACAUUUCUAAGCAACAGAACUUCUGACCAUUAAGAUCCGGCUACACGCCGACCAACGGACCAAGUUACCCUAGGGAUAACAGCGCAAUCCCCUUUCAGAGUCCAUAUCGACAAGGGGGUUUACGACCUCGAUGUUGGAUCAGGACAUCCUAAUGGUGCAGCCGCUAUUAAGGGUUCGUUUGUUCAACGAUUAAAGUCCUACGUGAUCUGAGUUCAGACCGG
rnacentral:rRNA from 1 species